rnacentral:lncRNA from 1 species
GGUGACCCAUAGGGCAGAGAGAAUGCCGGGGUGCACCAAAGCCCUGCGGCACUGAGGCUAAGCUGCCAGGCCUGAGGAGCCCUGGGAGCAGCCCGAGCCCUUCCCGGAGCUGCUCUGCCCGGAGCUCAGGCAUGCGUCUUCCAAGACCUUCGAUGUCCCUGUACCUUCAUGUGACUCUCCAGCUCUGUCUUUUACUUCUCUCUGCCAAAACGACUGCGGCUUUAGUCUUCGGGCUUCUAGGAGCGUCUCCUUCUCUCCGGGGUCAUAAAGCAGCUUUCUGUUGGCCCAAGCCCAGGACUCCUGCUUCUGCGACACUGUUCACUCCGGCUCUCCGUCCCAGGCCUCUUCCCUUCCCGUCACCUGCCCUUGCCUCAGGGCUUCGGCUUCCUGUCACCCUGGCCCCUCACCCUCCGGUGUCUCCCGAAGAGCAGCCCAUUCUCUUUCUUUUGUUUCCCCUCACUCUGCUCUCCUUGGGCUUUGCAGUGACUUUAAACACAUGUGCUUAAACUGGGCGUGGUGGCACAGGCCUGUAAUCCCAGUACUCAGGAGGCUGAGGCAGAGGAUCUCCAUGAGUUCAAGGCCAGCCGGGGAUACAAACUGAGUUCAGGGUCAGCCUGCACUGCAUAGUGAGACCAUCUCAACAAAAAACCACACGUGCUUCCCUUCCUCCUGCCGUGUUUCUGUAAUAACCAAUGUUUUUGUUGGGUAUUUGUUUUUUGAUGUGGUAGUAAGCAUCAAACCCAGGACCUUAACACUGUGCUGCGUCCCCAGCCCCGAGUCCCCAAAUUGCCUAGUCUGGGCCCUUAUUAUUUGUGCUCCUUAGAUUUUUUAUUUUAAAAAUUAGAGUAAUACAAGAGUUUCUCUUUUGUCCUACUUUCUAAAAUGACCAUAAAAGAAUUUUUAAAAGCUAACCCCAAAGGCUAAAACAAAUGAAGGAAGAAAAAUGACCUUACAGAUUUAUGGAAGAUGGAAAUUGGGUGGAAGUGUGACAAUUGAUUUGGCAGGCAGAGGAAGCAGCAGUUUAAGGGACAGAAAAUCAAAAAUGUGAAUGAAGGGGGCUGGGGGUUUAGCUCAGUGGCAUAAGCACCUGCCUUGCAAGCAGGCGGUUGUGAGUUCGAUCCCCGGUACCGAUAAAAAUGAAAAAGACAAACAAACAAACAAACAAACAAAAAAAUGUGAAUGAAAAGCAUUUCACUCCGCAGAAACUCCGGGAGGCUCAGUCCCUACGGGAGCAGUCUGCAUGUACAGCCACAAUGAGACCCAGGACCCCAUUCCCCUUUCAUGGGCAGCUACAAAGAUGAACAAAAACUCCAGACAUCCCAGGAAAACCUGCAGCACAGGCUUCACAAAACAAAGACAGGACAAAAAGUUCCCGGGGAAAGUAGAGCCAUUGCAGGAAAAAUUUAAAAACAAUCAUACUUGUAAGACUUUGCAAGGGCGACCCACUUCCGGACCCCCUUCUAUCUCACUCUGAUAGAAGCUUUUCUUCCUUUUGAUAAAUUCUUCCUACUCCAGAAGGAGAGAGAGAGAGAGAGAGAGACAGAGAGAGAGAGAGAGAGAGAGAGAGAGAGAGAGAGAGAGGGUUUACAUCCUCAAAAGAAUAGGAGUGAGGAGUGUAGCGAACACCUGUGGUCCCAGCACUGGGGAAGGGAGGCUGAGGCAGGAGCAUCACCUGGAAUUCAACGCCAACCUAGGCUACAUAGUGGGUUCAAGGCCAGUGUGGACUGCACAGCAAGACCCUUCUCAAAAAAGAAAUCAAAAGAGCAACAGGAAUGUGUGUGUACAUCACAUACUGCUAAGUUUGGCUCUGAAUCGUCCUGUUUCCACGAGGGGAGGGGGGUUCACCAGCACGGUGUGUUCAGCAGGCUCACCCACCCUGAGCUCGGGAGCUGGAGGUCCUGCUGGAGGAGGCCCACAGGUGGUGCUCUUGGGGUGGCCUAGAAGGGAGGGCUCCAGCUGCUCCUGCCUGAGGCCUGGCUACACUGGGCCAGCGGACUCUGCAGCCUUUUGAGGUCUCAGUUCAUUGACCUGUGAGCGCAUACAAAUCACUCCUCUUCUCAGAUGUGGGCGUGGGCAUUUUUUACAGCAAUGGAAAACUAAUACAUAUUUUAUGUCUUCUGUAUAAUAAACUCUGUCAUCAAUUUAUGUAAUUUUAUAUAUAUAUCUUAAUUCACAAGAAAGAACUUGGUUCAUUAUAUGUUUCAUGUAUUUGUAUGUAUACAUCAAAAAAGCUCAUGGAAAUGGAAGAAACAGAAAGUAGAUCAAAAAGAGAACAAGACAAAAAAUUUUUUAAAAAAGACUAUUCUGAAGGUCCAAUUAAUAAGAAGUAUGAAACAGAAAAGAAAUUAAACAGAAGGUAUUUAUCCAAGAAAUAAAACGAGAACGUGUCUGAGAGGAAAAGACAUGAUCUGAAGCAUGCCCCAAGCAAGGCGCCAGGCCUCACACUAAGAUGUGCAUUGUUAGUUUUGUGUCUGUCUGUGACACGGUCUCACUCUGUAGUCCAGGCUGGCCUCGAAUUCAAGGCAAUCUUCCUGCCUCAGCGCCCCCUUCUAGGAGAGUUUGGGACAGCUGCCUGGUGAUCAGAAGAGUGGAGAUGGAUAAAGCAGCAAUUUCUUAUAGCCUCCUCAUGGCCUGGAGAUGCAGCUUGGUGGUAGAAUGCUUGGCUGUUAUGUGUGAGGCUGUGGGUUCAAACCCUGGCACCAUAAGCUUGAAAAGCUUUUUUGUACUUUGUCUCUUUAAAACUAUAAAUAGUCAGGUGUGACAGUGCUGCCCCUCUGUAAUCCCAGUUUUCGGGAGGCUGGGGCAGGAGGAUCUCUGUGAUUUCAAGCCUAGCUGAGCUACACAUC